UUAAGCGACUAAGCGUACACGGUGGAUGCCCUGGCAGUCAGAGGCGAUGAAGGACGUGCUAAUCUGCGAUAAGCGUCGGUGAGGUGAUAUGAACCGUUAUAACCGGCGAUUUCCGAAUGGGGAAACCCAGUGUGUUUCGACACACUAUCAUUAACUGAAUCCAUAGGUUAAUGAGGCGAACCGGGGGAACUGAAACAUCUAAGUACCCCGAGGAAAAGAAAUCAACCGAGAUUCCCCCAGUAGCGGCGAGCGAACGGGGAGGAGCCCAGAGCCUGAAUCAGUGUGUGUGUUAGUGGAAGCGUCUGGAAAGGCGUGCGAUACAGGGUGACAGCCCCGUACACAAAAAUGCGCAUAUUGUGAGCUCGAUGAGUAGGGCGGGACACGUGGUAUCCUGUCUGAAUAUGGGGGGACCAUCCUCCAAGGCUAAAUACUCCUGACUGACCGAUAGUGAACCAGUACCGUGAGGGAAAGGCGAAAAGAACCCCGGCGAGGGGAGUGAAAAAGAACCUGAAACCGUGUACGUACAAGCAGUGGGAGCCUCUUAAUGGGGUGACUGCGUACCUUUUGUAUAAUGGGUCAGCGACUUAUAUUCUGUAGCAAGGUUAACCGAAUAGGGGAGCCGAAGGGAAACCGAGUCUUAACUGGGCGUUAAGUUGCAGGGUAUAGACCCGAAACCCGGUGAUCUAGCCAUGGGCAGGUUGAAGGUUGGGUAACACUAACUGGAGGACCGAACCGACUAAUGUUGAAAAAUUAGCGGAUGACUUGUGGCUGGGGGUGAAAGGCCAAUCAAACCGGGAGAUAGCUGGUUCUCCCCGAAAGCUAUUUAGGUAGCGCCUCGUGAAUUCAUCUCCGGGGGUAGAGCACUGUUUCGGCAAGGGGGUCAUCCCGACUUACCAACCCGAUGCAAACUGCGAAUACCGGAGAAUGUUAUCACGGGAGACACACGGCGGGUGCUAACGUCCGUCGUGAAGAGGGAAACAACCCAGACCGCCAGCUAAGGUCCCAAAGUCAUGGUUAAGUGGGAAACGAUGUGGGAAGGCCCAGACAGCCAGGAUGUUGGCUUAGAAGCAGCCAUCAUUUAAAGAAAGCGUAAUAGCUCACUGGUCGAGUCGGCCUGCGCGGAAGAUGUAACGGGGCUAAACCAUGCACCGAAGCUGCGGCAGCGACACUAUGUGUUGUUGGGUAGGGGAGCGUUCUGUAAGCCUGUGAAGGUGGCCUGUGAGGGUUGCUGGAGGUAUCAGAAGUGCGAAUGCUGACAUAAGUAACGAUAAAGCGGGUGAAAAGCCCGCUCGCCGGAAGACCAAGGGUUCCUGUCCAACGUUAAUCGGGGCAGGGUGAGUCGACCCCUAAGGCGAGGCCGAAAGGCGUAGUCGAUGGGAAACAGGUUAAUAUUCCUGUACUUGGUGUUACUGCGAAGGGGGGACGGAGAAGGCUAUGUUGGCCGGGCGACGGUUGUCCCGGUUUAAGCGUGUAGGCUGGUUUUCCAGGCAAAUCCGGAAAACCAAGGCUGAGGCGUGAUGACGAGGCACUACGGUGCUGAAGCGACAAAUGCCCUGCUUCCAGGAAAAGCCUCUAAGCAUCAGGUAACAUCAAAUCGUACCCCAAACCGACACAGGUGGUCAGGUAGAGAAUACCAAGGCGCUUGAGAGAACUCGGGUGAAGGAACUAGGCAAAAUGGUGCCGUAACUUCGGGAGAAGGCACGCUGAUAUGUAGGUGAAGCGACUUGCUCGUGGAGCUGAAAUCAGUCGAAGAUACCAGCUGGCUGCAACUGUUUAUUAAAAACACAGCACUGUGCAAACACGAAAGUGGACGUAUACGGUGUGACGCCUGCCCGGUGCCGGAAGGUUAAUUGAUGGGGUUAGCGGCAACGCGAAGCUCUUGAUCGAAGCCCCGGUAAACGGCGGCCGUAACUAUAACGGUCCUAAGGUAGCGAAAUUCCUUGUCGGGUAAGUUCCGACCUGCACGAAUGGCGUAAUGAUGGCCAGGCUGUCUCCACCCGAGACUCAGUGAAAUUGAACUCGCUGUGAAGAUGCAGUGUACCCGCGGCAAGACGGAAAGACCCCGUGAACCUUUACUAUAGCUUGACACUGAACAUUGAGCCUUGAUGUGUAGGAUAGGUGGGAGGCUUUGAAGUGUGGACGCCAGUCUGCAUGGAGCCGACCUUGAAAUACCACCCUUUAAUGUUUGAUGUUCUAACGUUGGCCCGUAAUCCGGGUUGCGGACAGUGUCUGGUGGGUAGUUUGACUGGGGCGGUCUCCUCCUAAAGAGUAACGGAGGAGCACGAAGGUUGGCUAAUCCUGGUCGGACAUCAGGAGGUUAGUGCAAUGGCAUAAGCCAGCUUGACUGCGAGCGUGACGGCGCGAGCAGGUGCGAAAGCAGGUCAUAGUGAUCCGGUGGUUCUGAAUGGAAGGGCCAUCGCUCAACGGAUAAAAGGUACUCCGGGGAUAACAGGCUGAUACCGCCCAAGAGUUCAUAUCGACGGCGGUGUUUGGCACCUCGAUGUCGGCUCAUCACAUCCUGGGGCUGAAGUAGGUCCCAAGGGUAUGGCUGUUCGCCAUUUAAAGUGGUACGCGAGCUGGGUUUAGAACGUCGUGAGACAGUUCGGUCCCUAUCUGCCGUGGGCGCUGGAGAACUGAGGGGGGCUGCUCCUAGUACGAGAGGACCGGAGUGGACGCAUCACUGGUGUUCGGGUUGUCAUGCCAAUGGCACUGCCCGGUAGCUAAAUGCGGAAGAGAUAAGUGCUGAAAGCAUCUAAGCACGAAACUUGCCCCGAGAUGAGUUCUCCCUGACUCCUUGAGAGUCCUGAAGGAACGUUGAAGACGACGACGUUGAUAGGCCGGGUGUGUAAGCGCAGCGAUGCGUUGAGCUAACCGGUACUAAUGAACCGUGAGGCUUAACCUU
rnacentral:rRNA from 1 species